AUUAUCACAGCAGACUCAUGGCUGUUCCCUCCCUCUCUCUCUCUCUGCAGCUAACGAGGGAGCGAAGCAGAAACGAAAAACAUCGUUAGUUUGGUGUCCUGCUAAAGAAUGUGGCCGUCCACAGCAGAGAGAUGUCUUCACACACAAACUGAGCUGCUUGAGACUGACAGCUCAAACAUAAAAGAUCAGACAUGUUUGGUUAAUCUUUGCAACAUUCAAUUGAGCCUCAUGGAUUAGUAAAUCAUUUUUAUAUCAUCAUUCUCUCAAGAUUUGUGCCCUGGUGAGGCUCGGAUGAAGAGAUUUCUUCAGCAUGACUCGAUUAAAAAAGACUGGGCUUAAAUACAAAUAGACACGGGUAACACAGGUGAGAGUAAUACAUGGACAAACACUGGGAGGAGGGAGGAGCUAACGAAGGAGAUGCAGCACAGGUGUGGAGGGAAAGCAGACAAGGGAAGAACUCAGGUAAGACAGGUGUGCAGGGAAAAGAAGAAGCAAAGAGGAAGGAAAACAAAACAAACAAAAUCCUGGAAAUCACACAAAACAAACAUACGAUGAUCAAAAUAACAAGAGGACCACCAGAAGUCAAAGGAAAACAUAACAGGAAGCAGGAAGGAAACCUUCCCAGAAUAGAAGGACGGACAUUUAAGCGAGGCCCGGGGAUUGUGAAACUGCCAGGAGACGUUACAGGCUCCCAACUGACGGUCCCAAAAGAGAGAAUCAAACUGGGGAUUGGAUUUGGCUCUGUGGUCGGACGCUCAGCGGGGCCAUCUGGCUCCUCCGCAGAGCUUACUGGGAAGUGGUGUUGGAAGAGACGUAUGAAAAGGAAGGAGAUUAGAUGCAUGGAGCAGUUCAGCCUGGAAGAUAAAGUUCUGCCCUGCGGAGAACGGGUGGCACCUCAAACCGCCCGACUACUUAAAGAUUUGUGACCCGGCCUUCAGAGAGUAUCGACGGCAGAGAGAGCGAGAAGACGCUCAGUGAGAGAAACCAGAUCAGACACUGAAGACAUCAGGAUCGUUUGUCACAAAAUGUUUUUCACUGUCGUUGUUCACUAUUUUCUCGUCUGAGGAAAUUAUGUGUUAAAUUAGCACUGUGUUAAAAAUCAUACAUACUCUUUAAAAGUUAAGAUCUCAUGUUAAAAUAUUACUUUUCUAUAAGUGACAGUCACACGAAGAGGAAAAGUCUUGACUCAUCUGAUAUUAAAUUCUUAAUUAAUUAAGAAUCAAAACUAAUUUUUCUGGUGACAUUUGGAUUCAUUCAUUCAAAAGUGCAAAUAAGGUAGAUUAAAAAUCUACAUUAACAUGAUCUUUUAUUCUGUAUUUGGGUCAAUUAAUAAAUCUGAAUUUUUCUGAUAA